AAUCCAUGUUGAGGACAACAUCGAAUCAAAUAUUUAUACCUUUCUCAUACUUCAUAGAGUGAAUCAAAAUCAUUUUGCUUGAGCUGACCAAUCUCACUUCUGAGUUA